UACAGAGGGUGCAAACGUUGCUCGGAAUUAUUGGGCGUAAAGCGCGUGUAGGCGGCUUGUUAAGUUGGUUGUGAAAACCCAUAGCUCAACCAUGGAAGGGCGUCCAAAACUGGCAAGCUAGAGUCCCGACGAGGAUGGCGGAAUUCCCAGUGUAGAGGUGAAAUUCGUAGAUAUUGGGAGGAACACCGGCGGCGAAGGCGGCCAUCUGGGAGGGCACUGACGCUGAGACGCGAAAGCGUGGGGAGCAAACAGG
rnacentral:rRNA from 1 species